CCCGAGUAACGGUCUGCGGGGCUGGGCUGGGGCGGGGGCCCGGUCCUCGCGUUCCAUCUGGCCACUCCCGAGGCUGGUUCUGAACCCGGUUCCCGGGACCCGCGAGCUUCGGCACGGCCCCGCCCCCCGGGCUCGCCAGCCCGCCCUGUCCCCUCCCCCCGCUCCCCACUCCUUCCCGUUCCCCCUCUUCCUCUUUGUCCCCUCCCCCUCUCUCGGUCACCAGCGCCCUCCGGAGCAGCCUCGUCCUGAACGUCUAGCGAGGAGCCAGCACGCCUUGCGGGGCCUCGGCUGUUUUAGUUAGCGACACGGACCGAGGAGAAAAUCGCUGUUACCCAUCUGUGGAUAUUCUGCGGGGAGAUUGAAAGAAAACCUGCUUCCUAUUCAUUGCCUGUCGUCAUCGCUGCCUUCACACCCUCCAGCGCUGGCGAGCCGGCAACUUUGAGUAAUUCCCCGAGAUACUGCCCAGAGUAUUUCGCGAGACAAGUCAGCCUCUUAGGACUCGCACAGUGACCCCAACCCGCUGCUCCCUUUCGGGUUCCUUUCCUGCAAACGACACUGCAUGGCUUGCACAUUGCAGUUUCCCAUGUCUUUAGUCACAGAAAAUGGUACCAUGUUUUCACAUUUUUCACAGACCAUCGCGCGCGCGGUUGUGUGAGUGUGUGUGUGUGUGUGUGCGCGCGCGCGCGCGCGUGCCACCAUUGCAGUACCCUCCCCCACGUUAUUCAUCGUAAAGAAAAACACUGCGUCCAAUCCUUGUGAUAUUCAAGCCAAUCCUGUGGGCAAUCUAUGCUCUCCAGCCAUCGGAACCAGAGGAAUUUACAGUCAUCCAUACAGGGUGACCGCAAGUCUGGAGAUGUAUAAAACCGAAGGCAGUGUGUGAAAAUCCGUAUUCACUCCCACAA